rnacentral:rRNA from 1 species
AUGGUAUUGCGAUGGGAUAUCUCGGCUCUCGCAUCGAUGAAGAACGUAGCGAAAUGCGAUACCUGGUGUGAAUUGCAGAAUCCCGCGAACCAUCGAGUCUUUGAACGCAAGUUGCGCCCGAGGCCACUCGGCCGAGGGCACGCCUGCCUGGGCGUCA